ensembl:lncRNA
CUACACUUUUUCUUCUGGUUUCUGCAGAGUUGGUUUGGAUGCCGUGAUUCGCGGCAGUUUAAUAGCGCUGUGGUUCACAUUCCUAAAUGUGUAACAUUGAUAAUAAAGAUAAACGCAAACACACAUUAUAAUCAGGCUUGCAUAACAUUAUUAUUGUAUCAAUAAAGAGAUACUGUAUGAAGAGGUAAAGAAGAAGGUAAACCUUGAUGAGCGUCCUAAUCCCAUAAGCCUCGCUGACAGAGGACAGUGGUGCCGGAUCGACACAGGAGAAAACCGAGGCAGGCCAUUGAAGUUGUUUCUCUUGUAUUGUUUAAUUUUUCGUCCAAAUGUCACUCUUUAUUAACCAAGACCAAAUCUUUGCACAUCAAGUUCAUCUUCUAGAGCACAAACUAAGGAGUAAAGAGGAGCGUAUUCUGGAGCUCGAGACAGAAAAGGCAAUUCUUCAUUUGAGGCUUGCUGAGGCCAAAACACUACUUCAUCACCAGAGGGAAGCCCAGAGCAUCACCCAGUUGGCUCUGGGGAAGCUCCUUGCUGAAGUCCAGAAUUUGAAGCAGGUCUUGAGUGAGAUCUUUGCAGUGUAUGCUAACGGCGUGGCCGAGCUGGAGGGCAAUAGCAAGCAGAUCCUGGAGAAGCUGGACGGGGCCAGGGCACUGAACGGUUGCCAUGGAGAUGACCUGCAGAGUGAGUAACCCUAACCUCACAGACUCAGUGGACGGAAGUGCUGAUGCACUCAGGAGCUCCUGGUUUCCCAUCCUACACGAGUACUGUAACCAAGUACGAAACAUAGUAAGUGUGUUCAUUAAGUGCCAGGACGUACAACAUACAAUAAGUGCGUAAGAGGGAGGUUGUGAGGUAAGGGGGUUGGCUAUGCACAAGGGAGUCUUGAGUCUUUUCCGUGUGUGUGUGUCUAACUGUCUGUUCUUCAACCUCCAGGAGCUGAGGGGGAACAUCAGGGUUCACUGUAGGGUGCGUCCUGUCAUCAUCACAUUUCCCUCUUGGCGCAUUUAAUGGCCUUGGGGUGCUCAUGCUAGCACUCUGUCUAGCACUCACUGAAGUUUGCUUUUAUUCAUCAUCGUCCUCCUAAUCUGUUGGGCGUCUAUCCCCAGAGUCCUUUCUGUCUUAUUCCAAACUGUCUUGGACGCUCUGCGAUCGAAGAGCACCUGUUUUUGCAAUGCCGACUUAUCCAUGCGGCAGACAUGGCCCAUAUACUUCACUUGUUGGGUGAAACAGAAGUCACGUAUUGGACGCGUCUUGGUAAUUUGACGCAAUCUUGUGUCCUGUGCUUCCAUUGGACCAGGUCCAGUCCUGCUCAUCCCCAUCAGGGGUGAUCUCUUCAGAGGAGGUCAUUCAUGUCAGCGAGGACACCGUGUUGGUGAACUGCAGUCCAGUCAUCAACAAGGUGUUUGAAUUUGAGAGAGUGCAUGGACCGGAGGACUCCCAGAACGUAGUGUUUGAGGAGCCUCUCCUCACAUCCCUACUGGAUGGGUAUAAUGUGUGUAUAAUGGAAAAACCCACACCAUGAUGGGCUCCCAGGGGCCCCCCAGGUCCCCUCAGCCAGGGGCCCCCCAGUGUGUCUCCUCCCCCGGGGACCAGCAGGGCAUCAUCCCCCAAGCUGCUGCGGAGCUCUUCAGGCUUGACUACUGCAAUGGUCUUCUCUACGGCACCACCAACAAAGUCCUCAAAAAACUUCAAUAUGUCCAGAACUCAGCUGCACGCCUCCUCACUGGUACCCGCUCCAGAGAACACAUCACACCUGUCCUCCGUGAACUCCAUUGGGUUCCAAUUAAACACAGAAUCAACUACAAAAUCUUACUCAUCACCUACAAGCCUACAGCCUAGCCCCCCUCCUACCUUGCCGACCUCCUCCAUCACCACGCCCCUUCCCGAUUCCUCAGGUCCAAUUCUGCCAACCUGCUACAAGUUCCACGGACUGAGCGACGGACUUGGGGUGAUCGGGCCUUCUCAGUUGCUACCCCCACCCUUUGGAAUUCACUCCCCUCCCACAUCAAAGUCUCUCCAACCCUCACUUCUUUCAAAUCUGCCCUCAAAACAUACCUUUUCACACUAGCCUUCCCCACCUAACUCCCACCUUAUUCUUCAUGUUUAACCUCUGUUUUUCUUUUAUUCCUAGUCUGUCUUACAUAGUUUUGAUAGGGCAAUAUGUAAAGCGUCUUAGAGUACCAUAUUAAGCGCUAUAUACAUUUCAUUUAUUAUUAUUAUUAUUUUAGAUAUUAUAUAGCCUAUUUGUUUUGUUAAAUGACAGAAAGCCUAAUAAGGUAUGUUAUGCACGUUAUGCAUGUUAUGCGUAAUUUGGGGCGUAUUCAAAUAAUGUAUUUUAUAUAUUAUACAUAGCCUUUUUGUUUUGUUAAAUGUCAUUAAGCCUAAUAAGGUAUGUUAUGCACAGUUCUUCGUUAUAGAGUGAUAUAGGUUAAUAUAAGUGCAUGAUGUGGAAGAAUUUGUCACAGUGGUACAAGCGGUAGUGACGCCUGGUUAGUAAUCAAGAAGGUGGUUGUUCGAUUCUCUCCGGGGUCAGAUACAUUUCUGCUCAAACUUACUGACGCAAUCGGCCUCUUUCUUUUGAACAUUUUUGUAUGAUUUAGUACGAUGGUAUGAUAAUUAUACGACGUAAUGACGGGCUGCGACGCCUGGCUGAUAUCGGCUGGCUGGCUGCGACGACAGGCCAGCCAUGGCUGGCCGCUGUCUGCCGCUGGCUGCUGGCUGCGGCUGGCAGCUGGCUCUGGCAGGCUGACCGACUAGGUCGCGACCAUAAAAGCGUCGCGACCCUUUUGGCGGCAAAUAGGUCGCAACCAACCAGAGGUAUGGCUGAAUGAGCAACCUGUGGCAGCCAGCCAUUGUCACCAUGGCUGCUACCAUAACAAAAAGCCUAUAUGUUAUCAGUUAACAUCUCAUUGAACAGAAUAAAUACACUUGCGUCAGUAUAAUAAAAACGUACAUACAAUAAUAUAUAGGCUUAUUGGUCUAUCCAUCUAUAUUUAAGUAAUACAGUGAUGUGUACAAAUUUAUAUUGAUUAUAUUGUAUAGCCUAUUGAUCUGUUAAAUGUCAAAGACUAUUAAAAUAUCCUAUGAAGAAAGUUAUAGUGUAUUAUACAACGGGGGCCUAAAUCCAGAGAUCUGAUUGGUUCCUAACUGUUGUAUAAUGAGCAUAUACAUAACUGCUAUGACGCCCGAUCAUUUUGUGAAAGUAUCACUCCGCGCCUUGAAGUGGAAACCGUUACAACCGUUCUCUCGGAGGGACGCUAAAGUGUGUUGCAUAGCGACCGUCGUGCAUUUUGAAGGCAGCCAGGAG